AAUCGGAAUGACUGGGCGUAAAGGGCACGCAGGCGGUGAAUUAAGUGAGGUGUGAAAUCCCCGGGCUUAACUUGGGAAUUUGCAUUUCAAACUGGGUACUUAGAGUACUUUAGGGAGGGGUAGAAUUCCACGUGUAGCGGUGAAAUGCGUUAGAGAUGUGGAGAAAUACCGAAGGCGAAGGCAGCCCCUUGGGAAUGUACUGACGCUCAUGUGCUAAAGCGUGGGGAGCAAACAGGAUUAGAUAUCCCUGGUAGUCCACGCUGUAAACGCUGUCAAUUUGGGGAUUGGGCUUAAAGCUUGGUUGCCCCGAAGCUAACGUGAUAAAUCGACCCCCUGGGGAGUUCGGCCGCAAGGUUAAAACUCAAAUGAAUUGACGGGGGCCCGCACAAGCGGUGGAGCAUGUGGUUUAAUUCGAUGCAACGCGAAGAACCUUACCUACUCUCGACAUCCGUGGAAUCCUGUAGAGAUACGGGAGUGCCUUCGGGAACCAUGAGACAGGUGCUGCAUGGCUGUUGUCAGCUCAUGUUGUGAAAUGUUGGGUUAAGUCCCGCAACGAGCCCAACCCUUAUCCUUGGUUGCCAGCGAUUCGGUCGGGAACUCAAAGGAGACUGCCAGUGAUAAACCGGAGGAAGGUGGGGAUCACGU
rnacentral:rRNA from 1 species